rnacentral:misc_RNA from 1 species
UUAGCAAUCUCAGAGCCAGGCG